UGUCUAGAAAAAGCUAUGUAGAGGCAGUAAGAGUGGGAAAAUCUAUCGAUAUUUUAUGCUUAGUAGCUGACACAUCCAGUGAUCCACGCACCACUAUUCCUACACCACUAUCAAGUUCUGAUAUUAAAAGUUUGCCGGAUUUGCCAACACCAGAAAAGGCUACGACUGACCCAUCUUACAGAUCCUUCCUCUCCAUCAAAGCGUAGGAAAACUGUGCACAGACGUGUUGUCUCAAGGCAUCCAAGAGAUGUCACAGAGACCACAGAAAAAAGGGUGGCAAGGUUGAGAUCACAGAGAAUUGAUGGAUUGAAGAUGUUAAUAUCACAGCUGGAUGAUAAAAAAAAGAAUAGAUUUGCUGGUUGUCAUAAUAGAAAGACAACCAGGCUUAAAAUUUGUGACAGUUUGACUAUUGCAGCUAGAGACACACCAGUCCCGUCUCCACCACCACAGACAAAAAAUUAUGCUAUAGCUAUAAACUUUUGCCUGAAAAUUGCUUAUCUCUCAGACCGGAAAUAGAUCAGUAUUGAGGGGGUUUAGAUCGCAUUACAAACAAGAGAUGACAUUUUGUUAGGGUGCC